GUACCUGGAAAGGGUGAGGCGGGCGAGGGGCACGGCACGCCCCACGGGCCAACGCCCCGACGUCGACCCCCAACCGCCGCGUCCCCCCACCGGGCCCGCGGCCGCACGCGGGCCUCGGCGCCGCCGGCACGUGACCGCAGGGGGUGCCCCGCCGCGCGCCGGCCGACCGCCGGCCCCGGAGGGCCCCCGCCGACGCCAGACGACCACCGCCCCGCCGUCCCCCCCCCGAGACGCGGGGCAGAGCCCGCCCCCGCCCCUCCAACCCUCACACACCCGGUGCGGCCGGCCCCGCCGGACCCCGUCCUCUCGCCCCAGCCCAUCCGCUGGGGGGACCCCUACCCGAACCCGCGUUCCCGGGCACCCUCCCCCCCCCCCCACACCACCACCGAGGGCGGAGGGAAGGGGCUCCGACGGGGAGCUGGGCGCCAAGCGGGCAGGGGACACGCGUCAGAGGUACGGGAGAGGCGAAAACAGGGCGGGAGAACCGGACAGACGGCCGCGGGAGGCGUGGGGGGUGGGGGACGGGGCGGGAGAAAGCCCCGAGGCUCGGAAGGCGUGGGGAGGCGAGGCGCCUGGCGACCGGCGCGGCAGGCCCAGAGCGGCAGACGGACGGCCGGCCGGCGACCGGCCGAGGCAGACCGGCCCAGGGCCGGCGACGGGAGGCGGCGGGGCAAGGCAAGCGGCCCCGCGACGGGGAGCCGCCGCCCGCCACGCCGCACAGCCCGCCAGACGCGACCGGAGGAUCCGCGCCGCGCGGAUCCGCGGCCUUUGUGGGGGGAGGCAGUCGUGGCCGGCGCCACGGGGCGAAAGGCGCGUGGGGUGGGGUGGGGGCGUGGGGAGCUUGCGGAGCCAACCCCCUCACCACCCCACCCCCUGAACCCUCGGGGCCAACCUCGAGGGACGUGGCGGGGAGGGCCGGGCUAUCGGGAAGAGGGGACGCACGCCGGAGGGCGACGCCACCGGGCGACGGGGCAGGGUGGCGGGGCGCCCCCGGCCGGGUUGGGGGGGGAACGGAGGCGCGGAGGGGCCGGCGGCGGGAGGAGGGGCGCGGGCGGGCAAGCAGGCGGAGGAGAACCCGCCUCUUCCCACCCGAUAUCCCCACAACUCUGCCACGCCGCCCCCCCACCUCUCUCGCGCGGCUCCUCGCCCCCCCAGACACACCGGGGAGUAGCCCCCGACCGGCCCCCGACCGCCCGUGGGGGGCGGGGCGCCCUCCGGACGCGUCUCGCUCUCCCCCUCUCCCCUCCUCCCGGUCCCAUCCCGCGCCGCACGGGCGGAGGAGAGGCUCGCGAGCCGGGCGCGUGGCGGGGCGAGGCCCCCGCGCCGCUCUCGGAACCGACCGCGUUAAUGAUCCUUCCGCAGGUUCACCUACGGAAACCUUGUUACGACUUUUACUUCCUCUAG
rnacentral:lncRNA from 1 species